rnacentral:lncRNA from 1 species
GGGAUCACACCUUCUUUCUAUUUAGGUUGUUAGAAUUUUUUUUAAAAAAGGAGAAUAGAGGGUCUUGUAAUCAACAAAUGAUUGAGAAAUAAAAUUCUACUUUUUCUUCUCUACAUACUCUCUUCUUCCUUCCCCUCUCAGUCUACUAAUCUCCCUUUUUUCUUUCCCUCUUCCUCCCAUCCUUCUUCCUCUCUCUCCUAUCUCUCUUUUGAAAUCUCCCUCAAGGCUUGAAGAUUGAAG